rnacentral:rRNA from 1 species
CGGGUGAGUAACACGUGAGUGACCUGCCUUUUAGACUGGAACAACUUUACCGAAAGGUGAGCUAAUGCCGGAUGAGUUAUAUAAGUGCAUGUUUAUAUAGGAAAAGUUGGGGAGACCUGACGCUGAAAGAUGGACUCGCGUCCCAUUAGCUAGUUGGUAGGGUAAUGGCCUACCAAGGCGACGAUGGGUAGCCGGCCUGAGAGGGUGGCCGGCCACACUGGGACUGAGACACGGCCCAGACUCCUACGGAAGGCAGCAG